rnacentral:tRNA from 1 species
ACCUGGGUGGCUCAGUUGGUUAAGCAUCUGACUUUGGCUCAGGUCAUGAUCUCAUGGUUUGUGGGUUCAAGUCCUGCAUAGGGUU